CCUACGGGCGGCUGCAGUAGGGAAUAUUGGUCAAUGGGCGAGAGCCUGAACCAGCCAUGCCGCGUGCAGGAAGACGGCCCUCUGGGUUGUAAACUGCUUUUAUACGGGAAGAAAAGGCCUCUGCGGAGGACAUUGACGGUACCGUAGGAAUAAGCCACGGCUAACUACGUGCCAGCAGCCGCGGUAAUACGUAGGUGGCGAGCGUUAUCCGGAUUUAUUGGGUUUAAAGGGUGCGUAGGCGGCUUUUUAAGUCGGUGGUUAAAGGUAGCAGCUCA
rnacentral:rRNA from 1 species